UCCUCUGUGAGUUCCCUUUGCUGACCAUGUGUAGGACAGGGGUGCAGUUUGCAGUGCUGCUGAAUGCAGGGUGGGUGGGUGGGGGAUGCUCAUGGCUCAGUGGAGAAGUCCCGCGUUCUUCUCCUCUUUCAGAAUGUUAUCUUUAAGUAUCUGGGGCUCUUUCUCUACGUCCAGCUGAUGAAUUAAGGAAAACCAUGUGGGUGGUGAUGAGUCGGGGAUCAUGUUAAUAGUCACCAAGUGCUUUUAGGAGGCGAUGAUGAAAGGUGUGCUGGGCGCAUCAAAGCGUUUUCUUGCACUACCGCCCUAUUCAUUGCACGUUGGAUGGGGAGGGCUGGCUCAUUGCCCCGUGCUUGUUGCUCUGAGGUGGGAACCAUGCUGCCCACAUCAGUGGGUGCCCAGGGCUGCACUCACCCCAUAGCAGCAGGGCCGUCAUGUGUGUGCCAGCCUGCAGAGCACUGUGCCUCUCCCUCCCCAGCGUCACUCACUGAGCCUUGGUGCUUAUUCAGGGCUUUGGAGAUGCAAAAUGCUAAGUAGUCUCUUGUAUUCCAUUCUGCUGAUUAAUGAAAAGUCUUGCAGUCCAUUUUGGUCCAGCUCAUGAGCUAAGUGUGGGAUUUGGUAGGAAAAGAGCCUUAAUCAUCAGUGCCGUUCAGAGAAGAGCAUCUCAACACACAGUGAGAUUAAAAGUUGCCCUUUAAAAUCUAAACAAGACAUCAUGGGAUGGUCUGGGUUGGAAGGAACCUCUCCGAUCAUGUAGCUCCAACCCCUGCUAUAGGCAGGGGCUGCUCCCAGCACACCAGGUUGCUCACAGCCCCAUCCAGCCUGGCCUUGAAUGCUUCCUGGGAGGGGGACUCACCCCUCACAUUAACAGCAGUUUAAUGUGAGCUCAUAAUAAAGCAAUGGCAGAGAAAAGCAAUGCGGGGGGAGAAAGGCAGGUGUCAGGCUGCCUGUGGAGCGAGAUGGCACUGACAAAGCACACAGUUGGCCUGUGUGUGAAGAAAACGUUGAAGCACAGUGAGUUUGCCAGUGGAAAUGUUUGCUGAUGACACGCGAAUGAGAUGUUCCAUAUGAAGAGGGAUUUGACUGUUUUCUGAGGAACUGGAGAGUAAACAGUGUUUCUUUCUUGGUUUUUGGAGUGUAAACCUUGACCCCCAUCUAACCCGGGUCAGUGACAAGACUUCUUCAGAGCCAGAGGCUGUGGGGAAAUGGGAAACAGGCUUAAAAAUGCCUCAGCUGGGUCUGUACAACAGCCCCUCUAUGUGAUGCUGCUGGGCAGUGUGAACGAGGGCCUGCCCCCUUGGCUGUGCUUCUCAAGUAUUUAAGAGUCCAAUUCUCCGUGCCACGGUGCUAACAUAGAUUGCAGCUGACAUUCGUCGCUGCUGUAUCGCAGUGGAAAUGCUGCGCUGUGUCUGAAGCUGCUCAUGGAACCCCCAUCCAUUUGCCCCUAAGAAGUGGCAGAAGUUGCCCUGCUUGGAUGGAGACAGUUUACCGAGAACUCACUGUGUUUGUCUCCGUGAUGUGCUUUGAAAUGUGAAGUCCAAGUGACUUUCCUGACAUCCACUCCUCUGUGACAUAUAUUUUCUUCUUAGGGCAUGGAGAAGAGAGUUAAUGGGUGUUUGCAGUAUCCGUGUGUGUAUUUCUGUUUGAAGAUAGACACAAAUCUGCUCCCAGUUCCCCCCCACGGUGAAUGGGGGAUGCCCAAAUGCAGUCAUGGCCCUCUGACCACUUACAUAUGACAAAGAAUGAGUUUGGCAGUUUACAUCCUCUUAAGCAGCGUUGGGAAGGUGGGUAACACUGCACUGCAACAGCUGCUCCAGGAAAGUCCUGCAGCAGCACAGUGAGUCUCUGUGCUGAAAAGACUUGUGGCAUUUGGCCCAGGCACCAUUGGAAUACCUGAUGCCUGUCAUCCCCUCUAUAAGGGGAUUGAGGAGUGAUAUGGAAGCACACAAAGGCUCCUGAGCUUCAGGUCCUUGAUGGCAGAUCCCAAUGUGAAGCUGCUCUGAUGCCUUCCGUU
ensembl:lncRNA